rnacentral:lncRNA from 1 species
CUGAGGCCCAACACAGGAUUAUCCCAGUGGGAAGCUCUGCUAACACAGGUGGCUGAGCAGCCUGGCGGCAACAAGCCUGUCCUGGAAAUAUGGAGAACCUCCUGGGAGAAGAGGCAGCAACCUCCAGAUUUACAGUGAAGAAGAAGAAUCAAGUGUACAUCCCAAUCUGAAUUACUGCAUUCAAAGAAAAAUUACCACUGCUAGCCACUCUACAAGAAUAGCACAAGAACAAGAAAGUCACCUAACUUGAAGACUUGGUGACCAAAACUCAUCCAGCAAAGAUAAAUAACAAAGAACAAUAUUGCUGAUUAAUCUCUUCCUAGGAUGUACAAAGAGAAAACACAAGGAAAAACAAUGAAACCAUGGAACCUGAGCAAGAAAACUAAAGUCAUAGUAAAGUAACUAAAGACAAAUAAAGGAAAAAACAAAAUGAAAUUCUGGAAACCCUUUCUUUCUUUGUUUCCUCAACCAGCAAUUUCCCAUAGCAAUCUAUUCCAAUCACAAAUAAUAAUCCUGCUGGCCAACCAAGGCAAUUAAAGCAUAUUUAUUGUCCACCACAAAUGCUGUCAUGUUAAAUAUGCUAUAAAAUGGGCUGAAAACAUGGAACAUGUGGGCCACACCAUUGAAUGAGACAAAGAGUUGAGGUGAUUGCAGCUUGCAUCAACAGUGGGUCAAAAACUGCAGUCUAGUGCACAGGAAAAGACAUUCAAAAUUAAAAGCCCUAGGGAUUUUUUUUUUUAAGUAAACAACAAAAUUUUAUUUGGAAAAUUCCUUUCCUUACACAUAAUGAAAUCCCAUCAAAUGAUUUUAUUUAUUUUAUUUGUUUGUUGUUCAAUGAUGUUUAUGCUUUUUUUAAAUAUAUUACUUUAAGUUCUGGGAUACAUGUGUAGAACAUGCAGGUUUGUUACAUAGGUAUACAUGUGCCAUGGUGGUUUGCUGCACCCAUCAACCUGUCAUCUAGGUUGCCCUGGUGUGUGAUGUUCCCCUCCCUGUGUCCAUGUGUUCUCAUUGUCCAGCUCCUACUUAUGAGUGAGAACAUGUGGUGUUUCGUUUUCUGUUUCUGUGUUAGUUUGCUGAAAAUGAUGGGUUCCAGCUUCAUCCAUGUCCCUGCAAAGGACAUGAACUCAUUCUUUUUUAUGGCGGCAUAGUAUUCCAUGGUGUAUAUGUGCCACAUUUUCUUAAUCCAGUCUAUCAUUGAUGGGCAUUUGGGUUGGUUCCCAGUCUUUGCUAUUCUAAAUAGUGCUGAAAUAAACAUACAU